rnacentral:lncRNA from 1 species
GGCUAGGGGUCCAAUUGGAGCUACAGCUGCCAGCCUACACCACAGCCACAGCAACGCCAGAUCCAAGCUGCGUCUGUGAUCUACACCACGGCUCACAGCAACGCUGGAUCCUUAACCCAUAGUGCAAGGCCAGGGCUUGAACCUGCAGCCUCACGGGUACUAGUCAGAUUCGUGUCCAUGGAUCCCCGAUGGGAACUCCUGGACCCUGUGUUAAGAGCAGAGUUCCUCACCUGAUGCAGUGUCCACUCCAACCCCACCCCUCUCCAGGCCAGACUUGCCUGCCCGUUCCCACCGCCCCGGGAGUAUGGCCAGGGCCUGGGAGCUGUGUGGGUGUUUGAUUCUGGGCCCCAGGGCUUCUUGGCCAGCAUGGACCUCAGUCGCUAUAGCAAGUGUUUCUCUGUCCACUGACUGCCUACACUUCCAGAGCAGAUCUGGCUGUCAAACUGACCUGGGUUCAAGUUCAGGUUUUGCAGUACCCUAACUUGAAGAUGGUGGCCUUUUGCCAGUCACUUAACUUCACUGAGCCUUGGUGUCUUGUCUAACCUUUUUUUUUUUUUUUUUUUUUUUUUUUUUUUUUUUUUUUNNNNNNNNNNNNNNNNNNNNNNNNNNNNNNNNNNNNNNNNNNNNNNNNNNNNNNNNNNNNNNNNNNNNNNNNNNNNNNNNNNNNNNNNNNNNNNNCCUACACCACAGCUCAUGGCAAUGCCGGAUCGUUAACCCACUGAGCAAGGGCAGGGAUCGAACCCGCAACCUCAUGGUUCCUAGUCGGAUUCGUUAACCACUGCGCCACGACGGGAACUCCCAAAGAACCAUUUUAAAAUUCAAAAGUAAAAAAAUAAAAUUCAGCUUUACUCAAGUGUAUUCCUUAAAUUUCUUUUGGCUUUUUCUUCAUUAAUUGUUUCUGUUUUCCUUCACAUUCAGUUGUGUCUUUUUCCUGAUUUCUUGUAUCAAAUGCUUAACUUAAUUUCUUCCUUUUCUGUUAGGAAUCUUAAGGUUUUAGUUGAUUAAAUUUCCUCUAAGUACAGAUUUGUCUUUGUUUAAAAAGCUUGAUGUGUAAUGUUCCUUUCUCCAUCUGUGCUAUUUUCUAGGUAUUCAAUAGCUGUGGUGUUUUUUUUUUUUUUUUGCCUUUUCUAGGGUGACUCCCGCAGCAUUUGGAGAUUCCCAGGCUAGGGGUUGAAUCAGAGCUGUAGCCGCCGGCCUACACCAGAGCCACAGCAACGAGGGAGCCGAGCCAUGUCUGUAACCUACACCUCAGCUCACGGCAACGCCGGAUCCUUAACCCACUGAGCAAGGCCAGGGAUUGAACCCGCAACCUCAUGGUUCCUAGUCGGAUUCGUUAACCACUGCGCCACAACGGGAACUCCAAGGAGGGAAUUUUAAGUUUUCCAACUGACAGUGUUAUUUAUUUUUGCUUUUUAGGGCCACACCUGCAACAUAUGAAAGUUCCCAGGCUAGGGGUGAAAUCCAAGCUGCAGCUGCCUGCCAGUCUGCACCAUAGCCACAGCAAUAUGGGAUGGAUCUCUGUGGCCUACACCACAGCUCACAGCAACGCCGGAUCCUUAACCCGCUGAGUGAGGCCAGGGAUCGAACCUGUAUCCUCAUGGAUGCUAGUCAGAUUGGUUUCCACUGAGCCACUAUGGGAACUCUGGGUUAUUUUUACUUCUGCUCUCAUUAUAUCUUGUUUUAUUUUUUGUUUUUUUUUUUUUUUUUUUUGAGGGGCACACUUGCCACAUAUGGAAGUUCCCAGGCUAGGGGUCAAAUUGGAGCUGUAGUCAGUGGCCUGCACCACAGCCACACCAGAUCCAAGCCUCAUCUGAGACCUACACCACAGCUCACAGCAAUGCCAGAUCCUUAACCCAUGAGUGAGGCCGGGGAUAGAACCUGCGUCUUCACGGAUGCUCGUCAGAUUCCUUUCCACUCUGCUGUGCUGUGACAGAACUCCCUGUUGCCACCUUUUGACCAUAUUUGCUGAUCUACCUUGGUCAGGUCAGCUCUUACUGUUUCUGUUUUGAAUGGGCCUUGGUCUACCAAGGUGUAGGGAUUUCUGUAUUUUCCAGCGUCUCCCUCUUGGGAUUUUUUUUCCUUUGAAAGUUGCUCUGCGGUAGAGGUUUUGCUCCUCCCUUAUGCUUCCAUGGCGGAUGGUUGUCCUCACCGAGGCAAAAUGACUCUCCUGUUCCUUUCUUUCUCUCUUGUGUCUGGCGUCUCUCAUGCAGUGUUACACAUUGGUGAGUUUAUUCCUUCUCGCUGCUGCUGCUUUGUUUCAUUGAGGUGUAAUUGACAAGGUGAACAGGACAAUGAUUUGACUGAGAUACGUUAUGAGAUGAGGCCCACAGUAACAUUUAGUGAGCAUCCAUCCUCUCGCAGAGAUAGAAAAUUAAAGGCGUAGAAACACAUGGUUUUUCCUCGUGGUGAGGUUUACACCUUAAUGACCUUCGCAUGUAACAUACAGUAGUGUUAAUUAUAUUUACAUGUUGUACAUUGUAUCCCUGGUUCUUCAGGUUCUUGUAUCUGGAAGUUUGUACCUUUUGGCGGCCUUCAUCCAGUUCCCCUCCCCACCUCUGCCUCCGAUAACCACAGGUCUGAUCUUUUGUCUCUGAGUUUGUUUUGAAGUAUCGCUGACCUGCAGCUCUGUAUUGGUACCUGGUACCCAGUACAGUGAUUCAGUAUUUCUCUGCAUUUCAGAGUGAUCACCUCGACAAGCCUAGUUACCAUCUGUCUGUUCCUUCUCGUUGUGAAAUAGUAUUCUGUUAUGUGAGUGUAAUAUUUAUUCGUUCUAGCUGUGAUAGAUUUUACUUAGCUCGGUUCCAUUUAGAGCUGUGGUGGAGUGCUGCCAUUGCCGUGCUCACGCGUCCUUCGGUGUGUCUUGGUAUGUGUUCUCUUGCGUUCCUACCUAGGAAUGGAAUUGCUAGGUCCCAGGGGACGCAUAGGUUCGGCUUUAGUAGGCAGCUGCCACUUUUCCAGAGAGUGUACCAAUUGGCACACCCACCAGUAGUGCACAAGUGUCGUCCUUCCUUCCCACACUCACCAGCCCUUGGUGUAAAGAUGUCUCCUCUCACCAGAUUGAUCUCUAGAUGCUGCGCGAUUCCAACCAGAAUCCCAGCAGGCUUUUCUUUUGCUGUUGGUUAUUUGGAAAUUUGACAAACCGAUUAUGAAACUUAUGUGAAAAUGCAAAAAAGGACCAAGACUAAGCAACGCUGGAAGGGCUCAGCUGACUAGAUGUCAAGGCUUUAUAAAAGCCACAGUAAGGAAGGCAGCACAGUGUUGGUGAAAGGCUAGACAAAUGGACCGAUGGAACUGAGAUCUUGAAACAGGCUGCAUGGAAGCAGUCACUUAAUGUAUGACAAAGGUGCCACAUGACAGAUGGAAAAAAAUGGCCUUUUCAAAAAAAGGUCCUGGGAAGGUUGGAUUCUCCAUGUAGAAGAGGUGGGGGGAGAAUCUUCUGCCUGUAAUCCUGUCUAGAAUCAGUUUUAGGUAGAUUAUAGAGCUAAACGUGAAAGAGAAAACAGAACUUCUGGAGUAAACAGGAGAAUAUCCUUACCGUCUUGGAGAAGACAGUUCUUUAAAUAGGAUACAGAAAGUGCUACCAAAAUAGAGAAGAUUGGUACAUUGAACUGCCUUAAGCCUUCUCUCUUCUACUUUCUACAAAUGCUCCAAUGAAAUGCAGCAAACACUGUUUUGUAAUUGCCCAGAUCGUUAGAUAAUCCGUCAGUCCCCUGCUCUCCUCGGAUGGACGGCUCCUCUCCUGCCUUCAGUGCAGCUGCCUGGGGCUUUCUUUGGCUGUCACUCAGGGUCUUGUUCCUCUGUGUUGGAUCCCCUGUUUCUUGGGUCCGUGGGUGGUGUGAACGUCAAAUAACAGCGACUCUCUUAAGCUGCCUUGGAGCAAUAAGGUCACUGGCUCAAGUUAAGUAGAAUUCCAGCAGUUCCCCUUUGGUUGGUCCAGAUACCUUUCUUGUCUGGGUGGGUCUCUGGCCAGGGGGAUGGAGUUCUCUUAGAUGGAGCUGGGUGUGGGUCAGCUUCCCAGGCCGCAGGCUUCUUGGGAAGGGACAAGGUCACGUCCUCCAGGAAAGAAGAAGAGAGAGUUGACUUCCAGGAGGUCAGUCCACCGUGGCCACUGCAACAUUUGCCCGUGUCUUGGUUUGCUUUCUUACUCGUUAGAGCAUCUUUCCCUGUAACUUUCUGAGAAGGUAGAAUGUUUUGAGUCCUUUUGCGAGUCUAAAAAAGUUUUUUUCUAUCUUCACACUUGCCUCUGUCAGCAGAUUCUAGAUUUUAGACUGAAAAUUGUUUUCGGGGGAAGGGAAUGAUGCUGGUAAGCGUAGCGCAGUUGCUCCCAGACUCAUUGCCCCUCCCUCCUUUAUUCCUCCCUGGGGCCUUUUUUGGGGGCGAUGAUUGGCUUUCGGUCCUUGUCUUUAUCCCCAGUGUCCUGGGAUUUCACUUUGUACUUCCAUUGCUCUGAGGACUUGGAGGAGGGCUCUUGCAGUCUUGGGUCCUUUAGCUCUGGGAAUUUGUCUUGUAAUUUUUAUUUGAUGAUUUCCCUCCCUUUUCUCCCCUUUGUGUUUCUGGAACUCCUGGAUUAAUCUGAUUUUGCUGGGAGAAACCAGUGUUCAUCUCCUGGUUAAUUUGUCUGUGAUUUCCUUGACUUUAUCUUGCAUUGCUUCUAUUGAAAUUGAAAUUAAGAAAGUUCCCUUGUAGCACAGGGGGUUAAAGAUCUGGCAUUGCUGCAGCUGUGGUACAGGUGUGG